UAAGCUGCGAAAAGCCAUGGGGAGCCGCAAGUAGGCAUUGAUCCAUGGAUGUCCGAAGUGGGGGAACCCGGCCGGGGCAAUGCCCGGUCACCAUGAGAUGAAUUCAUAGUCUCAUAGGAGGGCACCCGGGGAAGUGAAACAUCUAAGUACCCGGAGGAGAAGAAAGAAAACUCGAUUCCCUUAGUAGUGGCGAGCGAAGAGGGAAGAGGCCAAACCGGAGGUCUACGGACGUCCGGGGUUGCGGAGCGGCGACAAGCGAAGGUAAGCGAGCGGAAGCGGUUGGAAAGCCGAGCCAGAGAGGGUGACAGACCCGUACGCGAAGCUGAGAACAGCGAGCCGGAUCCAGAGUACCGCGGGACACGAGAAAUCCUGCGGGAAGCAGGGGGGACCACCCCCAAGCCUAAAGACGAUCAGUGACCGAUAGCGCAUAGUACCGUGAGGGAAAGGUGAAAAGAACCCCGGGAGGGGAGUGAAAGAGAACCUGAAACCCUGCGUUUACAAGCAGAUAGAGAGCGAUCAAUGCUCGAUAUCGUACUUUUUGUAGAACGGACCG
rnacentral:rRNA from 1 species